rnacentral:tRNA from 1 species
GGGAGCAUAGCUCAGUUGGGAGAGCAUCUGCCUUACAAGCAGAGGGUCACAGGUUCGAGUCCUGUUGUUCCCACCA